AGCAGUCGCCGCGGGAAUACGAAGGGGGCUAGCGUUGCUCGGAAUCACUGGGCGUAAAGGGUGCGUAGGCGGGUCUUUAAGUCAGGGGUGAAAUCCUGGAGCUCAACUCCAGGACUGCCUUUGAUACUGAAGAUCUUGAGUUCGGGAGAGGUGAGUGGAACUGCGAGUGUAGAGGUGAAAUUCGUAGAUAUUCGCAAGAACACCAGUGGCGAGGGCGGCUCACUGGCCCGAUACUGACGCUGAGGCACGAAAGCGUGGGGAGCAAACAGGAUUAGAUACCCGCGUAGUCCCUGUCUCUUAUAC
rnacentral:rRNA from 1 species